CUGCUGCCUUCCGUAGGAGUUUGGGCCGUGUCUCAGUCCCAAUGUGGCCGUUCACCCUCUCAGGCCGGCUACUGAUCGUUGCCUUGGUAGGCCAUUACCCCACCAACUAGCUAAUCAGACGCGGAACCAUCGUAUACCACCAGAGUUUUUCACACCGCUUCAUGCGAAGCUGUGCGCUUAUGCGGUAUUAGCACCUAUUUCUAAGUGUUAUCCCCCAGUAUACGGCAGGUUUUCCACGCGUUACUCACCCGUCCGCCA
rnacentral:rRNA from 1 species